rnacentral:tRNA from 1 species
GCCGGUGUAGCUCAGUUGGUAGAGCAAUCGAUUCGUAAUCGAUAGGUCGGAGGUUCGACUCCUCUCGCCGGCACCA